rnacentral:rRNA from 1 species
AUUGAACGCUGGCGGCAGGCCUAACACAUGCAAGUCGAGCGAGCGGCGGACGCGUGAGUAAUGUCUCGGAAAAUGCCUGUUGGAGGGGGAGAUCACCAGGAAACGCUAUCUAAAACCGCAUACCCUAUGAGGUGCCCCGAUGUGAUUAGCUAGUAGAUGGGGUAAAGGCUCACCUCGGCGACGAUCCCCAGCUGGUCUGAGAGGAUGACCAGCCACACUGGAACUGAGACACGGUCCAGACUCCUACGGGAGGCAGCAGUGGGGAAUAUUGCACAAUGGGCGCAAGCCUGAUGCAGCCAUGCCGCGUGUAUGAAGAAGGCCUUCGGGUUGUAAAGUACUUUCAGCGGGGAGGCGUUACCCGCAGAAGAAGCACCGGCUAACUCCGUGCCAGCAGCCGCGGUAAUAC